UACGAAGGGGGCUAGCGUUGCUCGGAAUCACUGGGCGUAAAGCGCACGUAGGCGGAUUGUUAAGUCAGGGGUGAAAUCCUGGAGCUCAACUCCAGAACUGCCUUUGAUACUGGCGAUCUUGAGUCCGGGAGAGGUGAGUGGAACUGCGAGUGUAGAGGUGAAAUUCGUAGAUAUUCGCAAGAACACCAGUGGCGAAGGCGGCUUCCUGGCCUGUUCUUGACGCUGAGGCGCGAAAGCUAGGGUAGCAAACGGG
rnacentral:rRNA from 1 species